rnacentral:rRNA from 1 species
AGAAUCAACGCUGGCGGCGUGCCUAACACAUGCAAGUCGAACGAGAAAGUGGAGCAAUCCAUGAGUAAAGUGGCGACCGGGUGAGUAACACGUGACUAACCUACCUUCAAGUGGGGGAUAACCUCGGGAAACCGGGGCUAAUACCGCAUAACAUCUUUGGAGUGGAAAUUCUGGAGAUCAAAGGAGCAAUUCGCUUCAGGAGGGGGUCGCGGCCGAUUAGUUAGUUGGCGGGGUAAUGGCCCACCAAGACGAUGAUCGGUA